CUUGGAGGAGGAGGUCCCUCAGCCCGGAUUGUGAGAGGGCGCAGGCCAGGCUGAGGGACCCCACCAGUGCACG
rnacentral:pre_miRNA from 1 species